UACAGAGGUCCCGAGCGUUGUUCGGAUUCAUUGGGCGUAAAGGGUGCGUAGGUGGCAAAGUAAGUUGGAUGUGAAAUCCUGGGGCUCAACCUCAGAAUUGCAUUCAAUACUGCUUAGCUAGAGAGCUGUAGAGGAGACUGGAAUUUACGGGUGAGCAGUGAAAUGCGUAGAUAUCGUAAGGAACGCCAGUGGCGAAAGCGAGUCUCUGGGCAGCAUCUGACAUGAGGCACGAAGGCCAGGGGAGCAAACGGG
rnacentral:rRNA from 1 species